rnacentral:rRNA from 1 species
AACGAACGCUGGCGGCAUGCCUAACACAUGCAAGUCGAACGGGACCUUCGGGUCUAGUGGCGCACGGGUGCGUAACGCGGGGGAACCUGCCCUUAGGUUAGGAAUAACUCCCCGUAAGGUGUGCUAAUACCGGUUAAUGUCAUCGGACCAAAGAUUUAUCGCGUUUGGAUGGGGGCGGGUUGGAUUAGCCAGUUGGUAGGGUAAAAGCCUACCAAGGCGACGUUCCAUAGCUGGUCUGAGAGCAUGACCAGCCAGAAUGGAGCUGAGACACGGCCUAGACUCGUACGGGAGGGUGCAGAAGGGAAUAUUGUGCAAUGGACGAUAGCCUGGUCCAGCAAUGCCGGGUAUGUCAUGAAGGGCUUAGUGUUGUAAAGCUCUUUUACACGGGAUGAUAAUGACAGUACCGGGAGAAUAAGCUCCGGCUAACUCCGUG